rnacentral:rRNA from 1 species
GAUGAACGCUGGCGGCGUGCUUAACACAUGCAAGUCGAGCGAAGAAGCGCAGCUUGCUGGGUGGAUUCGUGGCGAACGGGUGAGUAACACGUAAGUAGCUUGCCCUUCACUCUGGGAUAAGCCAGGUAGAGUGGCUCUAAUACCGGACAGGAGCGUCAACCGAACGGAGGGUGUUGGAGAGAUUUAUCGGUUUUGGAUGGACUCGAGGCUUAUCCGCUUGUUAGUGAGGUAAUGGUACACCAAGGGCACGACGGGUAGCCGGCAUGAGAGGGUGACCGGCGACACGGGGACUGAGAGACGGAGCAGACGCCAACGGGAGGCAGCAGUGGGGAAUAUUGCACAAUGGGCGCAAGCCUGAUGCAGCGACGCCGCGUGAGGGAUGACGGCCUUCGGGGUAUAAACCUCUUUCAGUAGGGAAGAAGCGAAAGUGACGGUACCUGCAGAAGAAGCACCGGCUAACUACGUG